rnacentral:rRNA from 1 species
CCUACGGUGGGCAGCAGUGGGGAAUAUUGGGCAAUGGGCGCAAGCCUGAACCAGCAACGCCGCGUGAAGGCAGAAGGCUUUCGGGUUGUAAACUUCUUUUGUCAGGGAAGAGUAGAAGACGGUACCUGACGAAUAAGCCACGGCUAACUACGUGCCAGCAGCAGCGGUAAUACGUAGGUGGCAAGCGUUGUCCGGAUUUACUGGGUGUAAAGGGCGUGUAGCCGGGUUGACAAGUCAGAUGUGAAAUCCUGCGGCUUAACCGCAGAACUGCAUUUGACACUGUUGAUCUUGAGUACUGGAGAGGCAGAUGGAAUUCCUGGUGUAGCGGUGAAAUGCGUAGAUAUUAGGAAGAACACCAGUGGCGAAGGCGGUCUGCUGGACAGCAACUGACGGUGAGGCGCGAAAGCGUGGGGAGCAAACAGGAUUAGAUACCCUUGUAGUC